CCUGGCUCAGGAUGAACGCUGGCGGCGUGCUUAACACAUGCAAGUCGAACGGUGAACACGGAGCUUGCUCUGUGGGAUCAGUGGCGAACGGGUGAGUAACACGUGAGCAACCUGCCCCUGACUCUGGGAUAAGCGCUGGAAACGGCGUCUAAUACUGGAUAUGUGACGUGACCGCAUGGUCUGCGUUUGGAAAGAUUUUUCGGUUGGGGAGGGGCUCGCGGCCUAUCAGCUUGUUGGUGAGGUAAUGGCUCACCAAGGCGUCGACGGGUAGCCGGCCUGAGAGGGUGACCGGCCACACUGGGACUGAGACACGGCCCAGACUCCUACGGGAGGCAGCAGUGGGGAAUAUUGCACAAUGGGCGAAAGCCUGAUGCAGCAACGCCGCGUGAGGGAUGACGGCCUUCGGGUUGUAAACCUCUUUUAGCAGGGAAGAAGCGAAAGUGACGGUACCUGCAGAAAAAGCGCCGGCUAACUACGUGCCAGCAGCCGCGGUAAUACGUAGGGCGCAAGCGUUAUCCGGAAUUAUUGGGCGUAAAGAGCUCGUAGGCGGUUUGUCGCGUCUGCUGUGAAAUCCCGAGGCUCAACCUCGGGCCUGCAGUGGGUACGGGCAGACUAGAGUGCGGUAGGGGAGAUUGGAAUUCCUGGUGUAGCGGUGGAAUGCGCAGAUAUCAGGAGGAACACCGAUGGCGAAGGCAGAUCUCUGGGCCGUAACUGACGCUGAGGAGCGAAAGGGUGGGGAGCAAACAGGCUUAGAUACCCUGGUAGUCCACCCCGUAAACGUUGGGAACUAGUUGUGGGGUCCAUUCCACGGAUUCCGUGACGCAGCUAACGCAUUAAGUUCCCCGCCUGGGGAGUACGGCCGCAAGGCUAAAACUCAAAGGAAUUGACGGGGACCCGCACAAGCGGCGGAGCAUGCGGAUUAAUUCGAUGCAACGCGAAGAACCUUACCAAGGCUUGACAUAUACGAGAACGGGCCAGAAAUGGUCAACUC
rnacentral:rRNA from 1 species